rnacentral:rRNA from 1 species
GACGAACGCUGGCGGCGUGCUUAACACAUGCAAGUCGAACGGAAAGGCCCUGCUUUUGUGGGGUGCUCGAGUGGCGAACGGGUGAGUAACACGUGAGUAACCUGCCCUUGACUUUGGGAUAACUUCAGGAAACUGGGGCUAAUACCGGAUAGGAGCUCCUGCUGCAUGGUGGGGUUGGGAAGGUUUGGCGGUUGGGGAUGGAAGCGCGGCUUAGCGGCUUGUUUGUGGGGUAGUGGCUUACCAAGGCCUUGACGGGUAGGCGGCCUGAGAGGGUGACCGGACACAGUGGGACAGAGAGACGGCCCAGACUCCUACGGGAGGCAGCAGUGGGGAAUAUUGCACAAUGGGCGGAAGCCUGAUGCAGCAACGCCGCGUGCGGGAUGACGGCCUUCGGGUUGUAAACCGCUUUCGCCUGUGACGAAGCGUGAGUGACGGUAAUGGGUAAAGAAGCACCGGCUAACUACGUG